rnacentral:tRNA from 1 species
UGGCUCAGUGGUAGAGUGCUUGCCUCGCAUGCAGGAGGCCCUGGGUUCGAUUCCUCAG